UUACAUUUGCAUUUCUACAUAAGCCCACAUUCUGAGGUUCUGGGGAGGCAUGAAUUUUGGGAGGGACACUAUCUUUCCCAGAACAGCUUCUAUUAUUUUGUGUGUGUGUGCUCAGUGCUUCGUAGACUUGACUUUAUCCCCUCCUCCUAGCCACCUUAUGAGGAAGGGACAAUGGCUACCUUGCCUCACAUGAGGAGGCGAGGCACAGAGACUUGGAACCUCUCAGGAUACACGAUCAUCUUUGCCCUUGCUUGGAAUUCAUCUGAUUUUCAAAGAGGCGGCCUGCAGCAGAGCCUCCCAACCUGACUUUUCUCUCCAAAUGGCAGUCCCUGCACGACAAUGAACAAGGAGAAGCUGGGCUCCACAGUGCCCUGUGUUCACAGGCUCCACAGUGAGACGAAAUGUCCUGGUUUAAAACGGACAUUGAUCAGACCUGCUGGGAAGGCAAGCGGGAGGCAGAAAGGCACGGCUGCUUCCAAGUUUCUGUUGGCAGAGAGGGCAGAGCUGACAACUCCCAGUGAAAGAUGUUUUCACCGUGGCGCAAGAGCAGAGACAGGGCCAGCGCGGCACCCCAGCCCCGCUCACAGCUCUAGGUUGAUGCUUCUCAGAGGGAAGAGCUCUUUCUCUCUCAAGAGUUUCAAUAAUCGUAUCCUAACUUGGCACAGAACCUCACCCUUCCUGGGAACACAGGAAUGUUUGCUACUUGAUGUCAAUAAAAUCCAACUCCUUAAGUGCUUAGGAGCUGGGGCUAAGGCAACUUUUGUCAUCAAAAAGAAGGCCCAG
rnacentral:lncRNA from 1 species